rnacentral:rRNA from 1 species
ACUCCUACGGGAGGCAGCAGUGGGGAAUCUUGGACAAUGGGGGCAACCCUGAUCCAGCCAUGCCGCGUGAGUGAUGAAGGCCUUAGGGUCGUAAAGCUCUUUCGCCUGUGAAGAUAAUGACGGUAGCAGGUAAAGAAACCCCGGCUAACUCCGUGCCAGCAGCCGCGGUAAUACGGAGGGGGUUAGCGUUGUUCGGAAUUACUGGGGCGUAAAGCGCACGUAGGCGGAUCGGAAAGUUGGGGGUGAAAUCCCGGGGGCUCAACCCCGGAACUGCCUCCAAAACUAUCGGUCUAGAGUUCGAGAGAGGUGAGUGGAAUUCCGAGUGUAGAGGUGAAAUUCGUAGAUAUUCGGAGGAACACCAGUGGCGAAGGCGGCUCACUGGCUCGAUACUGACGCUGAGGUGCGAAAGUGUGGGGAGCAAACAGGAUUAGAUA